UAAGAUUCUCUCCCUCUCAAAAAAAAAAAAAAAAAAAAAAAAAAAAAGCCACAUGCUCUACUAACUGAGCCAGCCAGGCACUCCAAGCCCAAGCCCACAAGUUUUUAAGCUUUCUUUCCCAUACGGGCUUCAAGCAGCGCUUUCCUUUGACUGACUGGUCUUGACUGACUAGUCUUGAUCAAAGAGGUAAUCCUUGCACUGGGGGACUGAUGUUUGUCUCUGAGACUGCUUAGAAUGGUUCUCCUCUGAGGUGAUCUCCUGACUGUGAAGCUGGCAUUUGGAAAACCAUCUACCUGAGUGCUCAAGCUCACAUUCCCACAUGUCCAGACGGGUGCAGCAGUUCUGCAUUCUGAAGACCCACCAAUCUGUAGAGGAGCUAAAAAGUUCAACCCACCCAGGAUUCUGGAUUUUAUUAUUGGCCCAGAGUUAUUUUUAAGUUUUCAUUUAUAAUAGUCACAGCAAAUUUUAAAGAUGCAAAUCUCAACACCAGGGUUGCAAACUGAUGGUUCCCAGGAUGCAUCUGGCUUGCAGACUUCCCUAGAAGGAAACAUGACCCCUGGACUCUACUGCCACCUUAAUGCCACCACCUGUAUUUGAUUUAUGCUUUUUUUUUUUUCACUAUUAAUAAAUACGGGUUUUUUUCAUUA